AGAGUUUGAUCCUGGCUCAGAACGAACGCUGGCGGCAGGCCUAACACAUGCAAGUCGAGCGCUCUCUUCGGAGGGAGCGGCGGACGGGUGAGUAACGCGUGGGAACGUGCCCUUCUCUAUGGAAUAGCCACUGGAAACGGUGAGUAAUACCAUAUACGCCCUUCGGGGGAAAGAUUUAUCGGAGAAGGAUCGGCCCGCGUUAGAUUAGGUAGUUGGUGGGGUAAUGGCCUACCAAGCCUACGAUCUAUAGCUGGUUUUAGAGGAUGAUCAGCCACACUGGGACUGAGACACGGCCCAGGCUCCUACGGGAGGCAGCAGUGGGGAAUCUUAGACAAUGGGCGCAAGCCUGAUCUAGCCAUGCCGCGUGAGUGAUGAAGGCCUUAGGGUCGUAAAGCUCUUUCGCCAGAGAUGAUAAUGACAGUAUCUGGUAAAGAAACCCCGGCUAACUCCGUGCCAGCAGCCGCGGUAAUACGGAGGGGGUUAGCGUUGUUCGGAAUUACUGGGCGUAAAGCGCACGUAGGCGGAUUAGAAAGUUGGGGGUGAAAUCCCGGGGCUCAACCUCGGAACUGCCUCCAAUACUCCUAGUCUAGAGUUCGAGAGAGGUGAGUGGAAUUCCAAGUGUAGAGGUGAAAUUCGUAGAUAUUUGGAGGAACACCAGUGGCGAAGGCGGCUCACUGGCUCGAUACUGACGCUGAGGUGCGAAAGUGUGGGGAGCAAACAGGAUUAGAUACCCUGGUAGUCCACACCGUAAACGAUGAAUGCCAGUCGUCGGGUAGUAUACUGCUCGGUGACACACCUAACGGAUUAAGCAUUCCGCCUGGGGAGUACGGUCGCAAGAUUAAAACUUAAAGGAAUUGACGG
rnacentral:rRNA from 1 species